AGGGCACCACCAGGAGUGGAGCCUGCGGCUUAAUUUGACUCAACACGGGAAAUCUCACCAGGCCCGGACACCGGAAGGAUUGACAGAUUGAGAGCUCUUUCUUGAUUCGGUGGGUGGUGGUGCAUGGCCGUUCUUAGUUGGUGGAGCGAUUUGUCUGGUUAAUUCCGAUAACGAACGAGACUCUGGCCUACUAACUAGACGUUGGAUCCCUUUGUGGGUCCAUCGCAGCUUCUUAGAGGGACGGGCGGCGUUUAGCCGCACGAGAUUGAGCAAUAACAGGUCUGUGAUGCCCUUAGAUGUUCUGGGCUGCACGCGCGCUACACUGAAGGAAUCAGCGUGUGUUCCCUAUCUGAAAGGAUUGGGAAACCCGUUGAACCUCCUUCGUGAUGGGGAUUGGGGAUUGCAAUUAUUCCCCAUGAACGAGGAAUUCCCAGUAGGCGCGAGUCAUAAGCUUGCGUCGAUUACGUCCCUGCCCUUUGUACACACCGCCCGUCGCUACUACCGAUCGAGUGAUUUAGU
rnacentral:rRNA from 1 species